GUUACAUUUGUAUCCAAAAGAUAAUGAAUGUGGCUACAAAACACCAUUGGCACUGUGACUCAUAUGAUUUGUGGGAAUCCUGCCCUUACACUCUUAGAAAGGAUUUACACAUCUUUGUGUGUUAAUCUUUUAACACAUUAUGAGUAAUUUGAACACAUUAUGUGUCAUUUUGUGUUGAUUUUGUGUUAAAAUAUAACACAAGGGGCCCUAUUUUAACGAUCUUAAACGCAAGUGCGAAGCGCAACGCGCAAGUGAGCUUGUGGGCGGAUCUUGGGCGCUGUUGCUAUUUUCCCGGCGUGAGAAAUAACUCUUGCGCCGGGCGCAAAUCAAUAAGGGGUUGGUCUGAAGUAGGUUCAUUAUUCAUAGGUGUGGUUUGGGCGUAACGUCAAAUAAACCAAUCAGAACGCUAUCCAACAUUCCCUUUAAACGCAAGGGCGCAAGUUCCAUGGCGGGUUGCUAUUAUUAUGACGGAUUUACCAGGCGUACGCCAGGAGCGGUUCACAGCCGAGGAGACCGACGUUCUUGUAAGAGCAGUCAAAGUCAGAGAAGUUGUUUUGUAUGGGGAUGGGAGAAACCCGCCCAAAUCAGCGUAGGUUAAACAGGCGUGAGAGGAAUUAUAGCCACAAUUGUCUCAUCAGCUGGCAUCCCCAUCGUUGCGCCAAGCGCUACAAUGAUGUCAGGAGACGGGGAAUCCCAAGCUUGCCAGCAUAAAUCGGGCACGCCGUGUAACGGGAGGUGGAUCUGCUUCUACACAGGACCAGAUGCCAGCAGAGGACAUCGUUGCGUCCACCCUCACUGAAAGGGUUUGGGGGCUUUGAAAUCGGACCCAAGAAACGCAAGCAAGGUCCAACCCCAAAGUACACUUACAAAUCAAGUUUAUAUACAUUAAGGUUUCUUAUGAAAACAUUUCAAUUAUUAUUUACAUAAAAUAAAUGUAAUACAGCCAUACAACAAACUUAUGAAAAUAUUUUAAUCGUUAUUUGCAUGAUCAUUUUUUAACACAGCCACACAAUAAAUAAAAACUAUCACCACAAUGCUCACCACUAUGAUUCCCCUUAUCUCAUGUGUUAAUAUUUUUUAGUGUAACAAUUUAUGAUUUGCAAAAAUAACUGUUGCAUCUGUGUAGAUUAGAUAAGCAAAGUUUGUGUGCGUUGUGCACGCUAUACAUUAUGCUCAAGCAUGCGCCCUUAAAAAAGCAUAAUGAACAACGCGCAACUCGCCACUGACUUUAAAGAGCACCUAUUAUGAGAUACACGUUUUUAAACAUCCUUUUGUGUGUAAGUGUGUAUUAGUACAUGCUAACGAUAUUCAAAAAGCACAUACCUCAAAGAAAACGAUGACGCGAGUUAUCUCUAACGUUCGAGGACUACAAAAAACACUCGGAUUGUAGGCAACAGUUUACUUCCUGGGAUUAGUGACGUAGAUAAGACCAACAUUAUCAUAGUUCAGCCCUCUCUGCUUGGCUGGGGUACGCCCUCAAAGACGGGGGUGGGGAGCGCCGAGUCAGAAGAGAGCUAAAAUGGCGGAGGUUGGGAGUCCCUGCUUGGACCCUUUUUGCAAACUCUUGCUUCAUUGUUUAAGUGAUUAAAUGUCUCGAGUAGACGCUGUCUCUUUAGAUGCGAGGGCAAAAUAGCACUUUAUGGACUUACACAGAGGACAUCAUGUUUAAUACGGUUCCGGAAAAAUCCAGUCAGAAGUUGUUCACGGAGUUUUCACAAUAACUCCUUUUUAUGAACCGAAGCUGGAUUUGCGUGACGUUUCCUCCUGAAAGUUGGAUUACCGUGCACUUCUGGAUCACAGGCUAUUCGCAGCUGGACACAUCCUUCUACACUGUAUGCAAACAUGCAACAUCAUAACACACAGUACAAGGAGUCAGACUGGCAUAUGAGGAGCAAAGGAACCCAGGCAGUAGCAUCUUUUCACAAUGUUUCCAUCACCAUCAUCAGUGGAUGUCUUUGCCGUCCGUACCCUGAGAUUUCAGAUUUGCAGCAAAAAAUUUGACUUUCCCAUUUAUUGGAAUGCUGUGCAGGUUGUACCUUGCAGCCAUCCAUUACAAUGUCACCAAGCCGUAACAAAAGCAACAGAGGGAAAGUACAAGGCUAUGUUCCCAAAACACACAAGUGACAUACCUUAUGUGGAGGAUGUGAUCAGGCUUGUGUUUGCUGAGGUAUUUGGAGACAAGCUGAAGGAAACCCCGAUUCCAAUGGACCUGGCAUCACAGUUUGAGAGACCUUCAAAGGAGGACGUGAUUGCAUGCCAUCUUCAGUGCAGGGGUCGUCGAAAGCCAAAAUUGUGACCGAUCUGAUCAGGAAGCUCCAAGCGUAUCUGGAGAACAACACACGACAGGAUGAUAACCCUAAAGUGUCGUCUUAGAUAGCACCAGCUGACAAAGCUUUGAUAUGCCAUUUAUCUGAAUAGAUAGCUGUAAGAAAUGAAUUGAACAAUUUUUGAAAGAAGAACACAAU